rnacentral:rRNA from 1 species
CCUACGGGGUGCAGCAGUGGGGAAUAUUGGACAAUGGGCGAAAGCCUGAUCCAGCCAUGCCGCGUGUGUGAAGAAGGCCUUCGGGUUGUAAAGCACUUUCAGUGGGGAAGAAAGCCUUGGGGCUAAUACCCUCGAGGAAGGACAUCACCCACAGAAGAAGCACCGGCUAACUCCGUGCCAGCAGCCGCGGUAAUACGGAGGGUGCGAGCGUUAAUCGGAAUUACUGGGCGUAAAGCGCGCGUAGGCGGUCUGAUAAGCCGGUUGUGAAAGCCCCGGGCUCAACCUGGGAACGGCAUCCGGAACUGUCAGGAUAGAGUGCAGGAGAGGAAGGUAGAAUUCCCGGUGUAGCGGUGAAAUGCGUAGAGAUCGGGAGGAAUACCAGUGGCGAAGGCGGCCUUCUGGACUGACACUGACGCUGAGGUGCGAAAGCGUGGGUAGCAAACAGGAUUAGAUACCCUAGUAGUC